AGAGUUUGAUCCUGGCUCAGGAUUAAUGUUGGCAGCGUGCCUAAUACAUGCAAGUCGAACGAUAUAGUGGCAGACGAGAGAGUAAUAGGAAGGAAUCUACCCCCGAGUGAAGGAUAGCUCGCCGAAAGGUGAGGUAAUCCUGCAUAAUACCGAAAGGUCAAAGCCGUAAGGCGCUUGGGGAGGAGCCUUCCUCCUAUCAGCUUGUUGGUGAGGUAAGAGCUCACCAAGGCGAUGACGGGUAGCUGGUCUGAGAGGAUGACCAGCCUCGAUGGGACUGAGACACGGCCCAUACUCCUACGGGAGGCAGCAGUAGGGAAUUUUGCACAAUGGACGAAAGUCUGAUGCAGCAACGCUGCGUGAAGGAUGAAGGUUUUCGGAUUGUAAACUUCUUUUAUCAGGGAAUAAUCUUGAAGGUACCUGAUGAAUAAGCACCGGCUAACUACGUGCCAGCAGCCGCGGUAAUACGUAGGGUGCGAACAUUAUCCGGAUUUAUUGGGCGUAAAGAGCUCGUAGGUGGUUUUGCAAGUCUGGUAUGAAAUAUCUGGGCCCAACCCAGGGAACGUACCGGAAACUACAUGACUAGAGGUGUACAGGGGAAGAUGGAACUCAUAGUGUAGCAGUGAAAUGCGUAGAUAUUAUGAGGAACGCCAAUGGUGAAGACAGUCUUCUGGGUACAUUCUGACACUGAGGAGCGAAAGCGUGGGGAGCGAACGGGAUUAGAUACCCCGGUAGUCCACGCUGUAAACGAUGCAUACUAGGAAUUCGGAGAAUCGACCCUCUGAGUUUCGAAGCUAACGCGUUAAGUAUGCCGCCUGGGUAGUACGGCCGCAAGGCUAAAACUCAAAGGAAUUGACGGGGACCCGCACAAGCGGUGGAACAUGUGGUUUAAUUCGUCGACAAGCGAAGAACCUUACCAGGGCUUGACAUCCAGAGAAUCCCGCGGAAACGUGGGAGUGCCGUAAGGAACUCUGAGACAGGUGUUGCACGGUCGUCGUCAGCUCGUGCUGUGAAGUGUACGGUUAAGUCCGCAAACGAGCGCAACCCCUUUCGUAUGUUGAAAUUCUCAUACGAGACUGCCGGUGUCAAAUCGGAGGAAGGCGGGGAUGACGUCAGAUCAGCGUGGCCCUUACGCCCUGGGCUACACACGUGUUACAAUGGGGUGAAACAAUGGGUUGCCAAACCGUAAGGUGGAGCUAAUCCUAUCAAACCACCCCCCAGUUCGGAUCGAGGGCUGCAAUUCGCCCUCGUGAAGUCGGAAUCGCUAGUAACCGUAGGUCAGCCAUACUACGGUGAAUACGUUCUCGGGUCUUGUACACACCGCCCGUCGAGUCAGGAAAGCCGGUAACGCCCGAAGGCCCCAACAGGGGACCACGGUGGGAUCGGUAAUCAGGACUAAGUCGUAACAAGGUA
rnacentral:rRNA from 1 species